AAAACCCAAGGGAGGCGGAGGCGGAGGAGGAACCGGUGAGAAGAGUGAGGAUGCCGCGGUCACAUUCAUGCGGCAUUUUUGGAGCUAAGAUACCAACAAGACCUCGACGGAUCAAUAUCUCCGAUGGACAUAUUGAAGAUAAUGAGGCAAAAAAGACUUUGCUUGCGAUUAUUCGGGCAAGAUGGCCUUUGGGUAAAUACACGUUUAGUGACAUAGACGCGGCUUACCCAAAGUGGCUCGGUCUAAGGGUUGAGGAGUUUCUAAAAUAUUAUAGGCAAUUGAAAGGUCAAAGCCGUUCAAAAGCCAAAGCUAUCAUUGAAGAUCACAUAAAGGUCACAAUCAAAAGGACCAUGAAUGAAUUGAAGAGGAGGAUCGAGAGGAAGUCAAGGGAGGAAGGGGUUUCGAAGUUGGCUUUGAAACCGGAAUAUUGGAAUAUCAUUUUUUGGAAAGAUCUUCUCAAGUAUU